GACGAACGCUGGCGGCGUGCCUAAUACAUGCAAGUCGAACGAGAGCGACCGGUGCUUGCACUGGUCAGUCUAGUGGCGAACGGGUGAGUAACACGUGGGUAACCUGCCCAUCAGAGGGGGAUAACAUCCGGAAACGGAUGCUAAAACCGCAUAGGUCUUCGAACCGCAUGGUUUGAAGAGGAAAAGAGGCGCAAGCUUCUGCUGAUGGAUGGACCCGCGGUGCAUUAGCUAGUUGGUGAGGUAACGGCUCACCAAGGCCGUGAUGCAUAGCCGACCUGAGAGGGUGAUCGGCCACAUUGGGACUGAGACACGGCCCAAACUCCUACGGGAGGCAGCAGUAGGGAAUCUUCCGCAAUGGACGCAAGUCUGACGGAGCAACGCCGCGUGAGUGAAGAAGGUUUUCGGAUCGUAAAACUCUGUUGUUAGAGAAGAACAAGUGCUAGAGUAACUGUUAGCGCCUUGACGGUAUCUAACCAGAAAGCCACGGCUAACUACGUG
rnacentral:rRNA from 1 species